GGGAUAUAGCUCAACGGUACAGCACCUGCCUGGGAAGUGUGAGGUCCUGAGUUCAAUUCCCAGUAUCCACA
rnacentral:tRNA from 1 species